rnacentral:lncRNA from 1 species
AGAGAGGAAGGUGGUGACAUGAACGAUGUGUGCCAAAGAAUAUGAGGACAAAGAAAGUGAAAAAAGUUUUAAAGAAAAGAAAUAUUAAUCUCUCACGCUCUGGAAAAUGAUGUAAUACACAUGCUAUACUAUGCCACAUCACCAAGUUGUGUCAUACAUUUUAAAUAUGAUUGAAGUGUUUAAAUGGAACUGACUUAAAAUGGAGUGUCUAAGUGGAAACAACUUUAGAGGGAAGGGGAAGAAAAACAUAGGAAAAACAUAGAGAACAUGAAGAAAGGGGGGCCUGGGCCGUCUUCCUCCACACAAAAAUCAGCAAAUCUACUCCAUUUCCACCAUUGUUAAAGACACCACCAAGCUCCACAAAAAUUCCAUAAAACCAACCAAAAACUCGAGCCCAAAACUACUCCAAAAACUCUAUAUCCAGCCAUGGAAAUAAGCUGAAAACAUCAACUUUUUAGCCAUGAAACCACCCCCAAAACCAGCCCCUUUUUCCACCCAAAAAUAGUCCCAAAAUCAGCACUCCAAACCCAACAAAAAUAGCAUUAAACCACCACAAAUUUCUGCUCAAAUCUCACCCCAAAUGUGCAGCAAAAACAGCUGCGAAAUAGCCCUGAACCAGCCCCAAAACCGAGCUCAAACCUCCCACAACUAACCCCCCAAAUCAGCACCUAAAACUCACCCCAAAAUACCUCAAAAUCCACCCCAAAAUCGUAGCAAAAUCAGCUGCGAAAACAGCCAAAAAGAGUAGCGAAAAUCAGCUACAAAACAGCCACCAAACUGCCCAAUAACAGCCGCGAAAUCCACAAAAUAGCAGCUGAAACUUACCCCAAAACACCACCAACGAAAGUUGCCGUUGAGGUCGUCAUCGAGGUUUCCGGUCAGAGGUACUUGUUUGUAGUUUUCUGCCUUCAACGCUUGGAAUAUUUUAUUAAUACAAUGAAGAAAGUUUUACUCCAUUAAAAGUUUGCCACUGCAUUCAUUUUCUGUCUAAAUAAAUGUUUUAAGUUCUUGUUUAGUUCUUUUGUGCGAAUGAUAUAUGUUUCCAUGCCACGAGUUGUUAAUUGUUAUAUUAUAUUAUUUAUGUAAUUUCUUCAUGCUUUAGAUUAAUGUUUCAGAUUUCUUUUGUGUGAUUCAAGGCAAUUGAUUGAUAGAUUAUUUAGAUAAGAUUUCCUUUUAUAUACUGUAGUAAGAUUUAAUCUUCUAAGAAAAUGAAUAAUGAAGAUUUUGUAUUAGGCAAAUGGGAUGUUAGACAAGAUCAUUGGGCCAUUGGGAUUGCUAGAUAUUUUGUUAAAGUGUUGGUGUUGAGCUAAAUUUUGUCAUGAUAAUAAUUAGACUAUAGGAGCGGUUGAGACUAAUUGGACCCCAUCGAUUUUUAAAAAAGGGUGAAUUUGAGCUUUAAUUUCCUUAGAAAUAUUCACUGGCCCAUUAGCUUAGUAACUAGAGUACAUCACGUCUUCCACAAUAAUUAUUUGAUAUAAUCAAUAACCUCACAACAAAUCUCAAAGUAGUUUUGGGAAAUAAUUCAUGAACAAUCGUAGUUUUCUUUAGGCGCGAUUAAUGAAAUAAAUUAUCAUGGCUAUGGGUCGGUUCCCGUGGCAUAGCCGUGAUACGUAACUCCAAAUUCGAGUGCACGUUCAUGUGAUUUGACCUUACAACUUCGAAGUAAUAAAAUAAAUAUGUUAUAAAUCGCGGGUACGUUUCACGUGACGUGAUUUGCAAUAUGUACAAAAACAACAAGUGCGUGACAUCGCGACUUGUUCAAAUAAAUUUCAUAAAUACUGAAAAUGGCUCAAAAUAAAUAAAAACGGUAUAAAAGCGACAAUGCAUAAAAGGUUCAUAAACACGCAAUAAUAUCAGACAAUUAAGCCAAAUAUUAAUUGUUAAGCGACCGUGCUAAAAUCACGGAACUCGGGAAUGCCUCACACCUACUUGUUGCCAUAAUAUAGGAAAAAUAUCUUGUUUGAUAAUUGAUCACAGGGAAGUUUAGAGAGGAUUUGAUCGUAGAUAGAGAUUUCAACCUGUGCUAAGUAGGGCUACAAAUAUAUUCAUUACUAAAGCAAUUUUAUACACAACCUCUUCAUGCAUUAUUCCAACUACUGAAAAAGCAAAAAAACAAACAUCUAGAACAAAUUCCUUAAGAGUUUGUGCUUCCAAAUUGCCAACCUUUCCCCAAGCAAACCUGGAGAGCUUGCUCUUACAUGACAACAUCAACAACGAAAACCAAGAAAAAGAGAAGUUCGGUGCACUAAGCUCCCGCUAUGUGCAGGUCCGGGGAAGGGCCGAACUACGACGAAAACCAAGCAAAUUAUGAAAUUUUGAUCUAAGCACUUUCCGCGAAUCCAACUUGUAGAUUACCAAAGUCAAAAACAGUGUGAUAUGCUCUCAAGAAUACAUCUCCAAGUACCCUGCAAUCAAGAAAUUUGAAAAUCAUUCUUGUCUAUUUCAUGUACAAGUGAUAUGAUAAGGUGUCAAAACAUGCAGAUAAACUCGCGCCACACAAUUGUUUUUUACCAGAGGGGACGUCGUGGAUGCACAUCCAAAGCUGUAAAUCCACUAACACAGUGAGCACCGUGAUUAUUUUCGAUUCUGAUAACAUACUAUUACCAAAAUACACACAGAAAGUUAGUCCACAGAAAACAGAAAACGGACAACAACAACAACAACAACAAGAACCCAGCAUAAUCCCACUAAUGGGGUAUGUGGAGGGUAAUGUGUAUGCAGACCUUACCCCUACCCUAGGGUAGAGAGGCAGUUUCCGAUAGACCAUCGGCUCCCUCCCUCCAAGAACUCCCCACCUUGCUUUUGGGGUGACUCGAAUUCACAACCUCUUGAUUGGGAGUGGAGGGUGCUCGCCACUAGAGCAACCCACUUUUGUCAAAAACAUAAAACGGACGUCUAAGAAUAAAAGGAAGUGCUUGUGCAACAUGUAAUAAUAGCAUGUUAAGUUUGGUAGUAACAACUUACUUGAUCUGGAGAAAGAGGGAAAGAUUUAUUCCCAAUUGUAAUUGUAAUAUGUGGCAAGGAAAAGACGUCGCAGUUGAUAAACGAUUUUCCUCUCGGAUCAGGAAGCUUCUCACACAGCUUCAACACAAAAUAAAAGAGGCAUUAAAUACAAGUAUAGAUUUUUCUUACUCUUUGCGUCUCAUUCUAUGUGACGUAGUUUGACUGCUUAAGCAAUGUAGUAAGGUAAAUUCACUAGUAUAAUACAUUAAAGAAUGGCUAGUGUGACAAACAACAACAACAACAAACUCAGUGUACUGCCAUAAGUGAGGUAUGAGGAGGGUAGAGUGUACACACACCUUACCCUUACUUUGUGAGGGUAGAAAGACUGUUUCCAAUGGACGUGCUAGUGGACAUUUAUUUUGAAUUCCAUAAUGUUUGCAAAAAUAUUUCGACAUAUUUAUUUAUUUUAUUAUUAUGAGAAUCAAUCCUACUACUUCUGGUUCUGGGGUUUCCACUCUUGAAAAAAGAACCGGGGCGUGUCGUCCAAAUCAUCGAUCCAGUAUUAGAUGUAGCCUUUUCCCCGGGCAAGGUGUCGAAUAUUUAUAACGCUCUAGUAGUUCAAGGUCGAGAUAGUUUUGGUCAACCAAUUAAUGUGGCUUGUGAGGUACAACAAUUAUUAGGAGAUAAUCGAGUUAGGACUGUAGCUAUGAGUGCUACGGACGGUCUAACGAGGGGAAUGUAAGUGAUUGACACAGGAGCUCCUAAAGAUGAAAAGGAAGCAAUACCAGCAAGCAGUAAUAUAAAAAAUUAACCGAAGCAACAAAAACAAAAAUAGGAAGCUAGUGUGAUAAGAAAACAUCUAAUUGUUCUGUAACUUGAAUUAGUGAGAUUCUUAUAGCUAAUCAUUAAAUAAAUUAGGAUAUCUCGAAAUAGAAGUUGUGCCAUAUAAAGUGGAAUAAAAGGGUAUUUAGUAUUGGAGAUAACAAGACUGUAGCAAUGUUCAGCAAAGGCUUUACCUGAUUAACAUAUUCAAAUGCUUUUUCCUUUGUUCUCUCUUUUCUAAAUUCUACUUGCAUCCAGAAAACUGUCAUCUCACAGAAAGAACAUAAAGCACUCUCAUCAUUUGGUAGCUUCUCCAAUUUUGAACUUCUAACCACCAUUUUCUGCUCGUGGCUGUGUACAUUUUCAUCGAACGAGACGUUAUGUUUACAGAGGCCAAUUAUGUGGCAAAUUCUUUCAGGUUGUAACUGCAGGAACAAAGAGUGAGACGUUAAAGCACUAGACGCAUACAAUAUAAAGGGCAUCCUUAUGCAUUAAGCUUCCGCUAUAGAUGCGCGGGGUCGGGAGAAGGGCCGGACGACAAUGGUCUAUUGUAUGCAGCCUUAUCCUGCAUUUCUGCAAGAGGCUGUUUCCACGGCUCGAACCCGCGACCUCCUGGUUACAUGACAUGACAGUAACUUUGCCG